GGCCUCCUGGUGCUUACCAUAGGCUGUAAGUAAACCUCCCCCAUGUACACCUCAGCCCAGGCCUUGUGUCUGGUCUGUAUUGUGAAUGGGGAAACAUGG
rnacentral:snoRNA from 1 species